AACGAACGCUGGCGGCAGGCUUAACACAUGCAAGUCGAACGGGUGCAGCGAUGCAUCAGUGGCAGACGGGUGAGUAACACGUGGGAACCUUCCUAGGGGUACGGAACAACUCAGGGAAACUUGAGCUAAUACCGUAUGUGUCCGAGAGGAGAAAGAUUUAUCGCCCUUAGACGGGCCCGCGUCGGAUUAGCUAGUUGGUGGGGUAACGGCCUACCAAGGCGACGAUCCGUAGCUGAUCUUAGAGGAUGAUCAGCCACACUGGGACUGAGACACGGCCCAGACUCCUACGGGAGGCAGCAGUGGGGAAUCUUGGACAAUGGGCGCAAGCCUGAUCCAGCCAUGCCGCGUGAGUGAAGAAGGUCUUCGGAUUGUAAAGCUCUUUUGCCAGGGACGAUAAUGACGGUACCUGGAGGAUAAGCCCCGGCAAACUUCGUGCCAGCCGCCGCCGUAA
rnacentral:rRNA from 1 species